GUGGCAGAUUAUCUUGCUGAACAAAACGUGCAAGUAUAAUAAAUGUUUGUUUGCCACAGAGCUUAGUUUCUGCAAUAAUCAAAAACCCAAUGCGAAAAUCCCAUUGGCUUUUUUUCAAGGGAACCCGUUCGAUUCUAACUUCCU